GGCUCAGAUUGAACGCUGGCGGCAGGCCUAACACAUGCAAGUCGAGCGGUAGAGAGGUGCUUGCAUCUCUUGAGAGCGGCGGACGGGUGAGUAAUGCCUAGGAAUCUGCCUAGUGGUGGGGGGAUAACGUUCGGAAACGGACGCUAAUACCGCAUACGUCCUACGGGAGAAANCGGGGGGAUCUUCGGACCUCGCGCCAUUAGAUGAGCCUAGGUCGGAUUAGCUAGUUGGUGAGGUAAUGGCUCACCAAGGCGACGAUCCGUAACUGGUCUGAGAGGAUGAUCAGUCACACUGGAACUGAGACACGGUCCAGACUCCUACGGGAGGCAGCAGUGGGGAAUAUUGGACAAUGGGCGAAAGCCUGAUCCAGCCAUGCCGCGUGUGUGAAGAAGGUCUUCGGAUUGUAAAGCACUUUAAGUUGGGAGGAAGGGUAGUAACCUAAUACGUUGCUACUUUGACGUUACCGACAGAAUAAGCACCGGCUAACUUCGUG
rnacentral:rRNA from 1 species